AGAAUCAACGCUGGCGGCGUGCCUAACACAUGCAAGUCGAACGAGAAAGUGGAGCAAUCCAUGAGUAAAGUGGUGCACGGGUGAGUAACACGUGACUAACCUACCCUUGAGUGGGGGAUAACCUAGAGAAAUCUGGGCUAAUACCGCAUAAUACCUUCGGGUCAAAGGAGCAAUUCGCUUAAGGAGGGGGUCGCGGCCGAUUAGUUAGUUGGCGGGGUAAUGGCCCACCAAGACUAUGAUCGGUA
rnacentral:rRNA from 1 species